rnacentral:rRNA from 1 species
UGGGGAAUAUUGGACAAUGGGCGCAAGCCUGAUCCAGCCAUGCCGCGUGAGUGAUGAAGGCCCUAGGGUUGUAAAGCUCUUUCACCGGUGAAGAUAAUGACGGUAACCGGAGAAGAAGCCCCGGCUAACUUCGUGCCAGCAGCCGCGGUAAUACGAAGGGGGCUAGCGUUGUUCGGAUUUACUGGGCGUAAAGCGCACGUAGGCGGACUUUUAAGUCAGGGGUGAAAUCCCGGGGCUCAACCCCGGAACUGCCUUUGAUACUGGAAGUCUUGGGUAUGGUAGAGGUGAGUGGAAUUCCGAGUGUAGAGGUGAAAUUCGUAGAUAUUCGGAGGAACACCAGUGGCGAAGGCGGCUCACUGGACCAUUACUGACGCUGAGGUGCGAAAGCGUGGGGAGCAAACAGGAUUAGAUACCCCAGUAGUCCCUGAGCGGGCUGGCAAGGCGCAU